UUAGUUUCCCACGAAAAUAUUCCCUAAAAUGCACAAAGACUCAAAUCAGAGUAUGCAUCUGAUUCAGAAAAAUACAAAGCCAAACCAUAUUCAAAAAUCGCCAAAUUCGUCAUCAAACUGCACGCCAUUAACCAACCAAUUCGAUUCCAAGUGGUAAUAUCAAUCUACGGGAGAACAGAUUUCGAGCUACUGAAGCAAAGCUACAAAUCCGAUAAGCUAAAACAACUAAGAUAUUAAUAUACGUUUCGAAUUUAACUUAUCCCGGAACUACACAGAAAAAGGAAUAGGAAAGAGGCAUGG
rnacentral:misc_RNA from 1 species